GAAUGAUAAAUUAACUGAAGAAUAAGGAUAAGAGAAAAGGUUAUAUAGUAGCUAAUAAUAAAAACAUUUUUAUGGGAUAGUGAGUUGAGAGUAUUGGAUAAAGAAAAAAUUGAUUGGGUUAUAGAGUGAUAAUGUACCGUGAGGGGAUAUUGAAAUAUAAAGGUAAAAUUUGAAGAUAGUAGAUUUAUUUUAUUGUACCUUUUGUAUCAGGGUUGAUUAAAAUUGUUAUAGGGAUUUAUAAUUUUCUCGGUUUAAAGAGUGUAAAUUUAUUCUGUAGGUUAGUAUGGUAUAACUAUCUAGAAGGAUAGGUUGGAAAUGAAAUGUUAAUCGUUCUUUAAGAUAUCUAGUUUCUUAAGAGAUGAAUUUAAUUCAGUUAUUUAGUUUAAAGGAGAUAUAAAGUGAUUAUUACUAAGAUUAAAUAAUAAAGGUUUGGGGGAUGAGCUUCGGAUUUAAAUUUAAAAAGUUAGUUUAGCGGGAGAGUUAUUUAGGCUUAGAAAUAGCCAUAAUUGGAAUGAUGUUAUAAUUUAAUUUUCUUGAGUAUUAUUUUUAGUGGUUUAGAUAUUAGAAUUAAGGUGAAACAGCGAAUGACGUAAUGUUUGAAAUAAUGAUUAAAUUAGUAUAGUUAGAAUUGAGCAUGUAAAAAUAUAGGCUGUUAUGAGAAGGGAGGUUAGAGUAAGGAAUUAGGCAAAUUUAUGUUCGCCUGUUUAACAAAAACAUGUCCUUUUGAUUGUAAUUUAAGGUCUGACCUGCCCACUGAUUUAAAUUGAAGGGCCGCGGUAUUUUGACCGUGCAAAGGUAGCAUAAUCAUUAGUCUUUUAAUUGGAGGCUGGAAUGAAGGGUUGGACGAGGCAUAGACUGUCUCAUUAUAAUUGGAGCUAGAAUUUAACUUUUGGGUGAAAAGGCUUAAAUGGAUUUAAAGGACGAGAAGACCCUAUAGAUCUUUAUAUUAAGGGCUUUAUUAAUAAUUUAGUUAGAUUAGUUUUAUUAGAGAAUUAAAUAUUUUGUUGGGGUGACGGGAAGAUAGAGUGAACUCUUUCUUACAAAGGACACUGAUUUGUGUAUCGAUGAUCCAUUGUUGGUGAUUAUAAGACUAAGUUACCUUAGGGAUAACAGCGUAAUCUUUUUUGAGAGUUCUUAUCGACAAAAAGGGUUGCGACCUCGAUGUUGGAUUAAGGUUAAAUUUAGGUGCAGGAGCUUGAGUUUUUAGGUCUGUUCGACCUUUAAAUCCUUACAUGAUCUGAGUUCAGACCGGCGUGAGCCAGGUCGGUUUCUAUCCUUAAAUUUGGAUACAUAUUUUAGUACGAAAGGACCAAAUAUUUCAAUUAGUUUGUGAUUAGUGGAGGAACAGUAAAGUG
rnacentral:rRNA from 1 species